rnacentral:rRNA from 1 species
ACUCCUACGGGAGGCAGCAGUAGGGAAUUUUUCGCAAUGGGCGCAAAGCCUGACGAAGCAAUGCCGCGUGAGGGAUGAAGGUUUUCGGAUUGUAAACCUCUGUUAUAAGGGAAGAAAACCUAGUAUAGGAAAUGAUACUAGCUUGACGGUACCUUAUCAGAAAGGGACGGCUAACUACGUGCCAGCAGCCGCGGUAAUACGUAGGUCCCGAGCGUUAUCCGGAAUUAUUGGGCGUAAAGAGCAUGUAGGCGGUCUGUUAAGUCAGAUGUGAAAGCCCGGGGAUUAACCUCGGAAUUGCAUUUGAAACUGGCAGGCUAGAGUCUUGUAGAGGGGGGUAGAAUUUCAGGUGUAGCGGUG